rnacentral:rRNA from 1 species
UACGGAGGGAGCUAGCGUUAUCCGGAGUUACUGGGCGUAAAGCGUGUGUAGGUGGCUGCGUAAGUCGGAUGUGAAAGCCCUGGGCUCAACUCAGGAAGUGCACUCGAUACUGCGUAGCUCGAGUACCGGAGAGGUUGGUGGAAUUCUCGGUGUAGAGGUGAAAUUCGUAGAUAUCGAGAGGAACACCUGUGGCGAAGGCGGCCAACUGGACGAGUACUGACACUGAGACACGAAAGCGUGGGGAGCGAACGGG